GUCUUGGCCUCCCAAAGUGCUGGGAUUACAGGCUUGAGCCACUGCACCCGGCCGUCAAAUACAGUUUUUAAGGAAAGGAAGAGCAUCUUAGGGUAAACAGCAGCUGGAAAGGUGAGGGGCGGGAGAGUGCUGCAUCCGUGUGGCUGCCAGCAGUGCCCAGGUAUCAGGCUUUGGGGAAUGAGUGGAUGGCAGGACCAUUUGUUAGGUGCCAGGGGAUAGGAGAAAGGAUGAGUUUUGGAAAGAUUCAAUGGGACUACACUGAAUAUGGGCAGUUGGAUACUAGACUUUGGAAUUUAUAAAGAAUAUCUGGAGUGAGCAUUGAGAGACAUCAUCGUGGAGAUGAAGGUCAGGCUGCAGUGCGGUGGGAUCACCUGUGGAGCAUAUGAGGAAAAAAGAAUCUGGAGGAAGAGGAGGGGAGCCAGCAGGGGAGCAGCUGUGGGUUGGAGGAAGCCAGGAGGGAGAAUGCAAUGCCAAGAAAGCAAGGAAGAGCAUUUCAAAGCAUGUCUGCAGAACCUAGUGCUGCGAAGAGCUCUGGGAAUGGGAUUGCUGAGGGCCCUUCUCACAGUGAGUCCUUCAAGAGCAACGUCCGGAUCGUGGGGACUGUUGGCAGACUCAGCCGGCUUUGCUAAGUUGAAAACAAUGGGAGGUGUGGAAGAUUUUUUGGCUCAGUUAAAUAAGAUUGGAGGAAAAGGUAGGAUUGAGAAUGUUUCAGACAGAAAAGGAAUUAUAUGCUGAGGGUAAAGCACAAGUACAGAGCGUUGCAGAUAGUGCAGAAAUCUUUAAAAACAAUUAUUUUAACCCAACUUCCAGGGAGACUGAAUUUCUUCUGCUAGUCAAUAACACCAUCAACCUGGGAGUUGCCCCUGACCCCUCCAGUCUUAGCUCCUGCAGCUGUAACAGAAUACCGCCAACUGGGUGGCUUAUAAAGAACAGACAUUUAUUUCUUACAGCUCAGGAGGCUGGAAGUCCAAGAUCAUGGUGCCAUCAUGGCCGGGUUCUGGUGAGGGCCCUCUUCUGGGAUGCAGCGGCCAGCUUCUCAUGUUCUCACAGUGGGUGGAGGGUAAGCUUGCUCUCUGGCCUUCUCUUCUAAGGGCACUAAUCCCAUUCAUGAGGGCUCCACCUUCAUGACCUAAUUAUCUCCCACAGAUGCCAUCUCCAAAUACCAUCACCCUGGGGGUUCCAUUUCAACAUGAUUUGGGGGAUACGUCAGACCAUAACACUUCUCUUUUUCGUAACCUUCACAUCUAGUUGGUUCUCAAGCCCUGGUGGUUUUACACACUAGGUAGGUCUUAAGUUCAUCUCUAUGCCUGCCCUGGUUUAGGUUCUCAUCAUUUCUCCUCUGAAUUUGUCUGCAACACAGGCUGCCAAGUUGGUUCCCACCUCCUAGGGCUGGAAGAGUGGGCUUUCUGAUUCUUUACACCCCCUCCUCAAUCCUCCUGCUUCCUGAAUAACCAUCUCCCCAUCACCUAGGGUAUAUCCCAGCCCCUUAGAGGCAUGCAAAGCCUUCCAUGUCUGACCCUGCCUUAUGCGUUGGAAGCCCUAGACCCCUGCUGUACCCUGAAGGAGGUAUGCGCUCACAUUGGCCCCUCUGUCUGAAAUAAACCCACCCCAGUUCUACCCAAUUCAGGAAAGCUUCCAACCCCUCCCUCCCACCACCCCAAAGCUAAGUGAAGUGACCCCUCUUCUUGCCUCUGUAACACCACCAUGCACAUAUUAUACAGUCCUUGCUGAGACGUAACCCAGUUCCCUGUUAGACUUAACGUUUCCUAAAGGCAGGUUUGGAACCUUAUUUGUUUUUAUAUGGUGUCUAGAAUAGUGCUUGCUUUAUGACAGGUGCUCAGUAAAUGUCUUGAAUGAGUUGAGCAGAUCCUCUAGGGACAGGAGUUGGAUGGAGAGCAGACUGUAAAGCCUCAUGAGGGCAGGGGCCCUGCCUCUUCCUGAGCUCAGAAUACCCAGAGCCUAAUUCAGUGCCUGCCAUGAAAUUGUUCACUCCAUCAAGCCUUGUUAAAUGAGUUGGGGGCGGGUGCACUAUGAUGGUUUUUCUUUCAGAAAGAAACCGCACUAUCAAAGCUCUAGCACCUUCUCUGUACCCACCUCAGGAUUUCAUAUUAGAUGGGGCCCAAGGGAUAUUUUCUUUACCAUCCCAUGAAGACAGCAUAUUGGCAGCCCUGCAAAAACAAAACAAACCCCUCAAUUCGUGGCAUACUUGCUAUAAAUUAACUACGUGUAUUGUCAAAUUGUAGAACUGAAAGUAUAUUCUGAUUUGGUGUGUGCGUGCUUCUAUUUAAGGAAAUAUACGCUAGUAUAUGCAUUAAAACAUCAAGAAGAGCUGGGCAGAGUGUCACAUGCCUGUAAACCCAGCUACUCAGGAGGCUGAGGUGGGAGCAUCGAUUGAGGCCAGGAGUUUGAGGCUGCAGUGAGCUAUGAUUGCAUCGCUGCACUCCAGCCUAUGCUGAGACCUCAUCUCUUAAAAAGUCCAAGAGGAUACACAGAAAUUUUUAAGUGGUUACCUCCAUGGAAUGGGAUUAGGGGAUCAGAGGUGAGGGAACUCAUGGUUUGGCUAUUUCUCAUUCUUUCUGCACUGCUUCAAAUUUUUACAAGUGUGUGUUAUUGUACUUUUAAAAAGAUUAGCUUGGCAACAAGUCUAGCCUGAAAUGGGUGCUAUUUUGACUAGUCUGAGUGAAAAGUGAGGAUUUAAAUGAAGUAACCCCUAAACUCAUCCCGUCCCAUUUUUUUUUUAACACUUGGAAUAUCUAAUUCCAUUUACACUGCAUUCUUCAAAUGUAAUUUUCAAAGAUGGCUUUUGCCUCAUCCCUUGCUUUUAAGUAUUAUUAUAGCCUUUUGGAGACUCACAAAACAAGCAGUCCCUAAACUCUCGCCUAGGAAAGUAUCUUGGAAUAAAUGGUUUUUGAGAACCUUGAGAGUGUAUAUUCUAUGAAAUGGAAGAAACAAGAACUAGACAGAGUCAUAAAUGCUGUUGGUCACAGACAAUCUCUGCCAUCCAUAAGGUAAAUAUAAUACAUAUGGCAACCUGCUGAGUGUGAACUUGGCAGCAGGUGAGGAAGGAACUUUGAACUCUCACAAUUUUGUUUCUUCAUUUCCCAGAGAGAAACUCGGCAAAGAGAAAAGGGACAUUUCCUUCCAGGUUAUCUGAAAGAAUUUCAAUGCUUACCUUUAAUCACGUGACAUCUUAUUAGUAGAAAAGAAGAGGACUUCCAGUUUUAGACUUCAUCAGGCAAACCUGGUUUCAUUUCUUCUUGCUUAGCCUGAUAAACCAGUAUGCUGUGUCCCACUGUUGGAAACACUGGUAGAAAGUCCUGGUACAGAACUCUUUCUGAAUAUUAAUCUCUGUGUUGCUGUGCCAGAAUCAGGUUGCUUCCUGAAUACAGAUCCCAGAGCAGCUGCCAAGCUUUCCCCCUCCUUAUCUCAUCAGGACCUUUGGGGAACAAAAGUGCCCAGACAUCUCCCACCGCAGAUUAACAAGCUGCACUUCAGAGGAGCGUUCCUUGAAAAUGGUAACUCAUCAAACCUGCAGCAGAAGGCAACUUUUCAACUCUCAGUCAAUCUGAUCAACAUUCAGCAUCCGUCAAAUGAAGGAUUGGGAGUGAUAACCUUAAAAAAUCCUACUAGGCUACUGGUUAUUGAUUCUCUGUUCAGCCUGAUGGAUGAAGACACGAAGGCAACAAGUGAAAGGGCAAACCUGGCUGCGGGCCUCCUUCACGCCAGGUUAGGUUAGGCAGGACUUGUGUCUGAAAAGCACCAUUGUUGGUUUUACCAAAAAUGCACUGCCAUCAUCACGAUCAAUGAGAAUGUCAUCCUAACUGGAGAUCUGCUCCUCCUGGCCCUUCCUUGGGAUUUUCAGAAAAGCUCAGAAAACAUUUUACAGUAAAACGUAAUUACUUUUGGCCUGGCUGUUUGCGAUCCACCAUGAUUGGAACUAUUUUGGGGAUGAUAUGUGUGAUUUAUGCUUAGAAAAAAACACUAGGUGUGAUAGUAGUAUAAAGGAGCUUGUAGGAAGGGCUUAAUUUACUUUAGAGAUUAAGUUCUUUGUGAGGGCUUUAGAAGCAUUGAUUCAUAUUAAAAUAAUAAAUGUGCUAAUUAUAGUUGAAUCGUUUCAACUCAUUAAGCCAGUACCACAAGACCUCUCAUUAGCCAUGCGACAUGAGUGGUUAAGAAUGAUUAUAGGUGGUGUCCAAGGACUCCAAUAGUUAAUCAGCUGGUGCAUGGCUGGGCUAGCCUUGAAUAACAUUACAAAGCAAUAGAUCUUUCUGGCAGCAUCCUUCUCCCUAAAUCCCGCCCCCAGGCCCACAAGUGUUCAAUGCCCUUAGGUUUUCUGCCUCUUAACACCUCUGAGAGGUUUCCCUGGCCAGUUGCCUUAAGAAGGAUCAAGUCAAUGAGCUGUGCUUUAUGAUGGCACUUGCACCAUCCUGUUAUAAUGUUUAGAUUUCUCUCCCUACUAGACUGUAAAUUCUAGUCAAUAAAUUUUUAUUGAA